GAUGAACGCUGGCGGCGUGCCUAAUACAUGCAAGUCGAGCGAACAGACGAGGAGCUUGCUCCUCUGACGUUAGCGGCGGACGGGUGAGUAACACGUGGAUAACCUACCUAUAAGACUGGGAUAACUUCGGGAAACCGGAGCUAAUACCGGAUAACAUGUUGAACCGCAUGGUUCAACAGUGAAAGACGGUUUUGCUGUCACUUAUAGAUGGAUCCGCGUCGCAUUAGCUAGUUGGUAAGGUAACGGCUUACCAAGGCAACGAUGCGUAGCCGACCUGAGAGGGUGAUCGGCCACACUGGAACUGAGACACGGUCCAGACUCCUACGGGAGGCAGCAGUAGGGAAUCUUCCGCAAUGGGCGAAAGCCUGACGGAGCAACGCCGCGUGAGUGAAGAAGGUCUUCGGACCGUAAAACUCUGUUAUUAGGGAAGAACAAAUGUGUAAGUAACUAUGCACGUCUUGACGGUACCUAAUCAGAAAGCCACGGCUAACUACGUG
rnacentral:rRNA from 1 species